GGAAGGGGUGUAUUUAUUAGAUAAAAAACCAACGCCCUUCGGGGCUUCUUGGUGAUUCAUGAUAACUUCACGGAUCGCAUGGCCUUGCGCCGGCGACGGUUCAUUCAAAUUUCUGCCCUAUCAACUUUCGAUGGUAGGAUAGUGGCCUACCAUGGUGGCAACGGGUAACGGGGAAUUAGGGUUCGAUUCCGGAGAGGGAGCCUGAGAAACGGCUACCACAUCCAAGGAAGGCAGCAGGCGCGCAAAUUACCCAAUCCCGAUACGGGGAGGUAGUGACAAUAAAUACUGAUACAGGGCUCUUUUGGGUCUUGUAAUUGGAAUGAGUACAAUUUAAACCCCUUAACGAGGAACAAUUGGAGGGCAAGUCUGGUGCCAGCAGCCGCGGUAAUUCCAGCUCCAAUAGCGUAUAUUAAAGUUGUUGUGGUUAAAAAGCCCGUAGUUGAACCUUGGGCCUGGCUGGCCGGUCCGCCUCACCGCGUGUACUGGUCCGGCCGGGCCUUUCCCUCUGUGGAACCCCAUGCCCUUCACUGGGCGUGGCGGGGAACCAGGACUUUUAC
rnacentral:rRNA from 1 species